rnacentral:rRNA from 1 species
ACGAACGCUGGCGGCGUGCUUCACACCUGCAAGUCGAACGGAAAGGCCCUGCUUUUGUGGGGUGCUCGAGUGGCGAACGGGUGAGUAACACGUGAGUAACCUGCCCUUGACUUUGGGAUAACUUCAGGAAACAGGGGCUAAUACCGGAUAGGAGCUCCUGCUGCAUGGUGGGGGUUGGAAAGUUUCGGCGGUUGGGGAUGGACUCGCGGCUUAUCAGCUUGUUGGUGGGGUAGUGGCUUACCAAGGCUUUGACGGGUAGCCGGCCUGAGAGGGUGACCGGCCACAUUGGGACUGAGAUACGGCCCAGACUCCUACGGGAGGCAGCAGUGGGGAAUAUUGCACAAUGGGCGGAAGCCUGAUGCAGCAACGCCGCGUGCGGGAUGACGGCCUUCGGGUUGUAAACCGCUUUCGCCUGUGACGAAGCGUGAGUGACGGUAAUGGGUAAAGAAGCACCGGCUAACUACGUG